CACUUACUCCCUCCGUUCGAAAAUAGUUGUCAUCAAAAUGGACAAAAAAUAAUGUAUUUAGAACUAAAAUACAUCUAGAUACAUCCCCUUUUAUUCAUUUUGAUGACAAGUAUUUCCGAACGGAGGGGGUACUUA
rfam:Triticum aestivum genome assembly, contig: Triticum_aestivum_CS42_TGACv1_scaffold_527476_6DL